GGGGAUGUCCCGGUUUCGACGGAAUUGGGAACGCCUGUACUGCAUGUGGGUGUGAAGGCACCCUAAGCUGACAAAACUUAUAACUGCCAAACGUAAAGAAGAAGAAUAUUCUUCAGACGAACAGUUCGCUCUCGCUGCUUAACUGUAGCUUUAGCCGGGACUCAGAUGGUGCUGUUCCUAACUGUCUGACCUCCUGUUGCCAACAGGGACUUGCUGCUUAAUAGGUUUGAAUAUUAAGCAGGACUCUUUUCAAAAUACGGUGGUGAUGCUUGUUAUGCUGCUACUCCCACCCGACAAUUACCUCGCAUAACUAAACUUGUAGACGUGCAGGGGUUACUUUUUCGGACGCGAGUUCAAUUCUCGCCAUCUCCA
rnacentral:tmRNA from 1 species